GGCUGGCUUUAGCUCAGCGGUUACUUCGCGUGUCAUCAAACCACCUCUCUGGGUUGUUCGAGACCCGCGGGCGCUCUCCAGCCCUCUU
rnacentral:vault_RNA from 10 species